rnacentral:rRNA from 1 species
UCCUACGGGAGGCAGCAGUAGGGAAUCUUCCACAAUGGACGCAAGUCUGAUGGAGCAACGCCGCGUGAGUGAAGAAGGUUUUCGGAUCGUAAAGCUCUGUUGUUGGUGAAGAAAGAUAGUGAGAGUAACUGCUCAUUAUUUGCCGGUAAUCAACCAGAAAGUCACGGCUAACUACGUGCCAGCAGCCGCGGU